AAAGUGCGAUAAGCAAUGCGAAUUGCAGAAUUCCGCGAAUCAUCAGAUUCUUGAACGCAAAUGGCGCUGGAGGGAUCUCCUUCCAGCAUGUCUGUUUCAGUGUCUGAAAACAUCCAAACACAGGUAUAUUUUGAAUAUACCUAACUUAAUGUGUCUGACGCAAGAACUCAUCUUCUUGUGUCUUACAUUAAUGCAUGUAUGUGCGGAUCUUUGGGUCCAUCGAAUUGUUAACUGAGAGAUAUUUCAGUGAUUUCGAUGCGAUAAUAAUACUCAAUUAUCCAUAUGCGCAUAGAAACACACUUAAAUAUUACUACAUCAAAUUUGCAUCUGAAACCAGGCAAGAACACCCGCUGAACUUAA
rnacentral:misc_RNA from 1 species